AGAGGGUUAGUCCAAUAUAAGACCUCUGAUUUCGGCUCAGAAAAAUUAUGGUUUAACUCCGUAAUCCUCUU
rnacentral:tRNA from 1 species